rnacentral:rRNA from 1 species
GACGAACGCUGGCGGCGUGCUUAACACAUGCAAGUCGAGCGGUAAGGCCCUUUCGGGGGUACACGAGCGGCGAACGGGUGAGUAACACGUGGGUGACCUGCCUUUAGCUCUGGGAUAAGCCUGGGAAACUGGGUCUAAUACCGGAUAUGACUCCGCGGUGCAUGCUGUGGGGUGGAAAGCCUUGUGCGGCUGGAGAUGGGCCCGCGGCCUAUCAGCUUGUUGGUGGGGUGAUGGCCUACCAAGGCGACGACGGGUAGCCGGCCUGAGAGGGCGACCGGCCACACUGGGACUGAGACACGGCCCAGACUCCUACGGGAGGCAGCAGUGGGGAAUCUUGCGCAAUGGGCGAAAGCCUGACGCAGCGACGCCGCGUGAGGGAU